rnacentral:rRNA from 1 species
AGGAGGUUUGCUUAGAAGCAGCAAUCCUUUAAAGAGUGCGUAAUAGCUCACUAGUCGAGUGACACUGCGCCGAAAAUGUACCGGGGCUAAAACAAUUUACCGAAGCUGUGGAUACCUUUAUAGGUAUGGUAGGAGAGCGUUCUAUGUGUGAAGAAGGUGUACCGUGAGGAGUGCUGGAACGCAUAGAAGUGAGAAUGCCGGUAU